UUUCAGAUGACGCCGGGGUUGAGGGAGUAGGCGGCUGUGGGUGUGUGCUGGAGGCCGAGCUUCGCUCCCACCUUCGUCGCCGCUCGGCCAGGCUGCGAAGGGUUUUCUUGCCCGGGCAUGCGUCGUGCCGCACCGCCGGCGAGACGCUGGAUCCGCAGCCCUUAUAGAGACUCAGUCCGGCGAAGGCCUCGUCGGGGCUCGGAUAUAUCGAGCGCGGAGCUUGCUUGCGGUGUUGAUUCUUCGCCCUUAUUUGACGAGGCCGAGUAUUCUUUUUCCUGCCGAUCGUUCGAGGGAGCUCUGGAGCGAGUGCUGACGAGAGGAUGACUGCUGUGCGGAGGAUCGUGCGAAUUUGAAAUGUACGGCAAGCCGUUGUUCAUUGAGAUGGUGAUAAAGUGCGGGGCCAAUAACUUCAACUGCAAAAACGCAGCCAGAAUGUUCUCAUUGGCUCACAUGGACUAUGGAUUGCCAUUUUGGAGAAGCCGGAGCAACAGGAAAUUGUUUAAUACCGACGCAUACGUAUUCGAAAUCACUUAAAAACGUUGUGUGAACUUUGUAGCUUUUAUUUUUUAUCGAUAUUUUGUUAAUUUUUUCCGCAAGGUUGUACUGUCCUUAAAAUAAAAAAAAUAUGGGCUGUUUUCGGAACGUUUAGAAAAUCAACCAAAAAAAAUUAUUUGUAAAAGACUGGUAAUUAAUGUACAAAGAGUGUUCAGAGAAUAAAGAAAGAAGAAAAUCGCGGUAGCGCACGAAUUUACAUAUCCCAUAGCGUUAGACCAUGGUCUCGGACCCCCUGUGUCUGGGCCUUACAACAAAAACUUUCUCUAUAGCUAUGCUCCACAUUCUGUAUUUUAAAUCGAUACGAAUUUUUUGGCUAAAGGCUUCUAAAAAUGUUUAAUAUAAUGUAUAAGUCAAAUGGAUGGAUGUAGAGUGUGAGAUGUGAGACAUAAUGGAUGUUUGAUGUGUAUGUUUAAAAAUAUAAUUUUCGCACUUGUAUUUAUAGCACUGCACAUAUAUCUACUGAACACAAAUAAUUUUAGCACUAAAUAUUUAUAGUACUGCACGUAUAUUCAUUGCACCAAUAUCACGUAAGCACUUAACAUUGACAACAUUGCACGUAUAUAUGCAAAGCAAAUUAUUUCGGUAACUAUUUUUAUGCGCGUAAUUCUAUCGCACAAAUAGUUUGAGCACUUAUCGUUAAUGACAUUUCAUUACAACAAUUAUCAUUUAAGCACUAGGUACAAUUUAUAGCACCUCACAUGUUCUCAAUGCACAAAUUAUUUUACCCCAUUUUAUUUAGCACGUAAUCGAUUUUUAAUGCACAAAUUAAUUUAAUACAUUAUUAAUAGUAUUGCGCAUAUUCGUCAUACACUGAAUCCUUAUGUACUCAUUUUUAAGUACAUAUCAUUUAUGCAGCACUGCACAUAUUUCCAAUGCACCAAUUAUUUUUGCACUUAUGAUUUAUAGCACUGCAUAAAUUAUAUGUCAAAAGUUAUAUUAUAUUAAUGCACAAAGUUUUACUGCAUAGUUAUUAUUUGUUUACAGGAAAAUUUUUUACAAUUUCUUAUAAUGUCGCAUAUAUUUUUCUGCACUUAUUAUGUAUACCACUGCACUUAUUCCUAAUGCACCAAUUAUUUUAGCCCUGAUGAUUUAAAGCACCGCACUUAUUCCUAAUGCACAAAUUAUUUUAGUACCUUAUUUGUUCUUAAUGCACAAGUUAUUGUAGUACCUUACUUAUUCCCAAUGCACAAAUUAUGUUAGCACCUCGCUUAUUUCUAAAUCACAAAUUAUGUUAGCACCUCGCUUAUUUCUAAAUCACAAAUUAUUUUAGCACCUCGCUUAUCCCUAAUGCACAGAUUAUGCUAGCACCUCGCUUAUUUCUAAAUCACAAAUUAUUCUAACCCUUAUAAUUCGAAGCACAGCACUUAUUCCUAAUGCACAAAUUAUUGUCGUAACCUACUUAUUUUUAAUGCACAAAUUAUGUUAACACCUCGCUGAUUCCUAAAUCACAAAUUAUUUUAGCACCUCACUUAUUCCUAUAAUGCACAACCUUUUUCAGUUCUUACAAUUUAUAGCACCGCACUUAUUCUUGCACAAAUUAUUUAGCUGCUUAGUUGUUGCUAAUUGACAAAUAAUUCAAGCACCUCGCCAAUUCUAAUGCACAAGUUAUUUUAGCACCUUAGUUAUUUCCAAUGCACAAAUUAUUUUGGCACCUAUAAUUUAUAGCACCUCACAUAUCCUCAACACACAAAUAAUUUUACUACUUCAUGUUUAUUGCCUCCAUUUUUAAUGCACAAUUAAAUUUAGCACGUAUAUAUGGGUAUAUACAGCUGAUUUGCAAAAUACAAUUUUAUCUUUGUUUCUAUGUUGUCUAAAAAUAAACAAUUAGAAUAUCUGUAUCAUUUUAUGUUGACACUAAUCAUUUUCAAAAAAUUACAUUUGAGAUUUUAUCUAUAAAAUUUGAUUAACAUUUUAGACGCUGGACAAAUUCUACACAAAAUAAUUCGACACAGGAAAUCACUGUACGGAAAAAUUCUACACAGUUAUUUACUUCACGGAAAUUUCCUACACAAAUUUUUGGUAAUUUUAAAUCACCGAUAAACUCUAUACAAUCGUAUAACCUAUUGUUGUCAACAAUGUAUAACAAUAGGUUAUACGAUAGUGCUGAGCUUUGCGGUGUAGGAGAAUUACCGAAAAUGUGUGUAGGGAAUUCGCGUAAAGUAAAUAACUAUGUAGAAUUUUUCCGUGCAGUUAUUUCCUGUGUAGAAUUAUCUUGUGUAGGGUGUACGGUUAUUUUUGUGUAGAGUUUGUCUGGCGUCACAUUUCAUGAAUGCAGUUAUUACUUGCUCAAUCACUCGUGUGAUACAAAACUGCCAAACAAUGCAUUUGAAAAUCAAAGAAUAAUCAUAUUCUACAAAAAUUUUUAUUGACGGUUUAACUAUAAUAGCCACUUUAUUCCCUGAAAAGCGGGACUAAAGUAGUGUUUUAUUCCCUCCCAUACAGCACGAGUCGGAGUCGAGUGCUGAAAACACCUCACCAGAGUCUGACAUAGCUUUUAUUCCCGUGUUGCACACCGUGUUUUUUCCAACAAGGGGAUGAAAGGGACUUUUUAUGCGUGAAAGUUAGGUAGGAAGUCGUGCAUUCCAAGUCGUGCACGAAAAAUUUGAGAAAUUUGAAAAAAUUAAAAAAUUUGAGAAAUUUGAAAAAAUUAAAAAAUUUGAGAAAUUUGAAAAAGUCAAAAAAUUUGAGAGAAUUAAAAAAUUUGAGAAAUUUGAAAAAGUCAAAAAAUUUGAGAGAUUUAAAAAACGGGUAUCAACAAAGCGGAGAAAAUAAUUUUCUCCCUGAUUGAGCUCAAACUUUUUCUAACACGCUUGGAAUGGACGAUUAUCUACGCUACUUUUAGGCAUGAAAAAAGGAUUAUUUCAUGCGCGUGUUGAGAAAAGUUACUUUAUUCCCGCAAGUGCGGGAAAAUUUUUUGAAAAAAUAAAAAAAUUAAUAAAAUUUUGUAAAAAUUAAAAAAUCAACACCUUUUUGGAAAAAUGAAAAAAUUUUAAUUUUAAAAAUGUUUAAAAAACUUAAAUUUUAGAAACUUGAAAAUUUAAUUUGUAUUGACGCAAGUCCCACUUUUCAAGGGAACGAAGUGGCUUCACAGUUAAGUCGUGAAUAAAGUUCUAUAUGCAACACGGGACUAAAGUCGAUUAUUCCCUCAGGUGAUUACUGACGUUGCUUCGCUUGGGCAGUAAAUCCACCAGCGGGAAUAAUCUACGACUUUAGUCCCUUGUUGCAUAAUGUACUAUUAUUUAUUUCUUGAUUAUACUUAUAGUAUUUAUAAAUUAUAUUUAAUUUUUAAAUAUUCGCUUCUAGGCUUAAGAUUAUCCAUUAUGCCCGGUUCACACGAUGUACUAUAUUUUUCUCAAUAUGAUUAUCAAAUCAUGCAAAAAUUGUAUAUUAUUAUUAUAAAUAAAAUUAUUAUUCUGUGUUCGGUUCUCAAACACUGGCCCGUACCUCGAAAUUUUACGACGGGUGAACCUGGCAAGUGUGAACUAUGUGUGUAUUAUGCAAUAAUGACUUCAAAUCCGGGCGCGAUGUGCAAAUCGACGAUUAAUUCAUAUAAUUUGUCGUGCAUUCGCCAUAUAGCGUGACGAUAAGUACAAUUAUUCUUUUGCAUCCUAAAAUUCAAUAAUUGUUAUGAUUGAAAGAUAUGAUGUAUGCAAAUUGAUAAAUCGACGAAAUCAACGUCUUCCAAUUUAAUAUUAAGAAUAAAACGCUGGUGCGUUUAAAUAAUGUAUACAUUAAAUGAUGUAUUCAUAAUAAAUUUAAGUAUGUUAUUCAAUAACUUUUGGGCGAAAGUUAUGAAUGGAGAAUGUCUCUGAAAGAUUGUGUGAAACUCAAGGUCGUUUUGAAAUUUUUAAUAUAAUAAGACUUAAAGAUUUGAACAGAAAUAUUACUACGUGUGAAACAGGUUUAUAGGAAACAAUAAUGCGAAAAUAAAAUAAUUUUAAUAAUUGCAUCCAAAAAGUUGUGACGUGACAAUAAAACGUAGUAAUUAGAAGCGCUUAUGCGAUUUUUACUAAUUCUCAAAGUUAUGUAAAAGUGUUAUCUACAUAUUGAACUAAGAAUUAUAUAUUAUUUAUAAGACUAGAAAAUAAGAAAUACUGUGAAUUGUCGAGUUUCAAAUAUCGCUGUUGCAGACAAUAAUUAUUAUAAGAAAAUUAUUAAUAUUAUAAGAAAUAAUAUUAAUAAAUACCAAUUUGAUAUUAAGGAAAA
rnacentral:lncRNA from 1 species